UACGUAGGGCGCAAGCGUUAUCCGGAAUUAUUGGGCGUAAAGAGCUCGUAGGCGGUGUGUCGCGUCGGCCGUGAAAACCUGCAGCUUAACUGUGGGCGUGCGGUCGAUACGGGCAUCACUGGAGUUCGGCAGGGGAGACUGGAAUUCCUGGUGUAGCGGUGAAAUGCGCAGAUAUCAGGAGGAACACCGGUGGCGAAGGCGGGUCUCUGGGCCGAUACUGACGCUGAGGAGCGAAAGCGUGGGGGAGCGAACAGG
rnacentral:rRNA from 1 species